GGAGACGUGGCAGAGCGGUUUAAUGCGCUGGUCUCGAACACCAGUUGGGAAGAAAUUCCCUCGGAGGUUCAAAUCCUCCCGUCUCCGCCA
rnacentral:tRNA from 1 species